rnacentral:rRNA from 1 species
UACGGAGGGAGCUAGCGUUAUUCGGAAUUACUGGGCGUAAAGCGCACGUAGGCGGCUUUGUAAGUAAGAGGUGAAAGCCCAGAGCUCAACUCUGGAAUUGCCUUUUAGACUGCAUCGCUUGAAUCAUGGAGAGGUCAGUGGAAUUCCGAGUGUAGAGGUGAAAUUCGUAGAUAUUAGGAAGAACACCAGUGGCGAAGGCGGCUCACUGGUCCGGUACUGACGCUGAGGUGCGAAAGCGUGGGGAGCAAACAGG